rnacentral:rRNA from 1 species
UACGGAAGGGGCAAGCGUUGUUCGGAAUCAUUGGGCGUAAAGGGCGCGUAGGUGGUUCUGUAUGUCUACCGUGAAAGCGUACGGCUCAACCGUAUUUUGUCGGUGGAAACUGCAGGACUUGAGGCUGGGAGGGGCUGGUGGAAUUCCCUGUGUAGCGGUGAAAUGCGUAGAGAUGGGGGAGAACACUCGUGGCGAAGGCGGCUUCCUGGGGCCAUCCUGACACUGAGAAGCGAAAGCUAGGGGAGCGAACGGG